UAGGUUUACUUCCGUAACUUAUUAGUUGACAGAAAUUAGAUCACGAUGAGGUGUGGUUUAUUGAAAUCUGUAGUGUAUGGGUAUGGUUAAAAAAAAUUGAUUUGUAAACUAAGGUGCAUGAUAUUAACAAAGAUACAAUUCGAAAUGAGCUACGCAUUAUUAAUAAAGGUAAACAAUUUGACGAAACAACUCGCAAUUAAAUUUGAGACAGGUAUUUUUUUUCAAGGUCGGCCAUGUUGGAUUCUUGUUGACGCUCAAAAAUGGUGUCACCUGUCUCUAGCCUAGCCUAGUAAGUAGACUACUUCUGCCGCAUACAGCACACACAGAAAAUAUGCUUCUGAACUAUUCUUCAUAGCCAUCUGACUUUAUUCUUCGCUGACAUCUGCUAAGCAAGCCUAAUAAAAAGGCAUGAAAGAUAGAGGACAUGUUCAUUUAUCAAGAACUUGAUUUGUUUUACAUAUUUCUGAUGUUCUGAAGAUAAACAAACAAAAAACAAACUCCCAGGAUGGCAGGGACUGGCAGUAGGCAGGGUUCAAAUCUUUGAAAUCACAUGACCAUGAAGCCAUCCCUUGAGAUCCAUGCUGCAGGAACUCAAUCAUAAGCUUCACAAACAAACAACUUUCAUUGAAUAGCAGACAACAGAUAAGCACUUGACAAAGAAUUUAUGUUCUUCUCGAAACAAAAACAUUUUAUUAUAAAUGUAAAAAAAUUAUUUAUUUUGUUUACAAAAGUCAUGUAACAAACAAACAAAACAAAUAAAAUAAAUGUACACACAUA